AUGACCAUUUACUGUAGGUAGGGUAUAAAUACCAUGAAAGCUGAUAACCCCCGACAGCCAGUCUUAUCUGGACAUGCAUCAUUUGAUUUUAGCAAUAGUAUUACUCUCACUACAGCUUUUUUGGCUUCUCUUCCAGUUGGCCGCACUGACUGGGAGAUGACAGGAGUCUGCAACAGAUGACAGAGCUGCUGCCGAACAAGUUACACGAAGCGUUGAAUGGAAGACUUGGGUUACACAUACAUUCUGGGCAUUGUUAGGGUUUUGGGAAACUUAUUUUGCAAUAAUUUAUUUUAUUAUUUUUUUUGGUUACUGUGGGCUUUUAAACUUUACAUUGUAAAUUUAACAACUUUUAUGUAAAUUUAUGAAAAAAUACUGUUUUGUGCUUACUGUGGAAUUUCUUUGACAGACUAUCUUUAAAAUAACAAUUUAUCUCCUUUAUGGUAAAUGGAUACAUCUGUGUUUUUGAUCUUUCUCCCCAGACAGAUAUGAUGUACAGAUUACGUUCAUUCAUUUCCUGCAUUAAUGUAAACCAGUCAUCUACCAUCAUGCCUUCCUUCUCUAAUUGACUGUAGGGCCUCUGCAGAGCCCAGCAAGAGUCACGUGCUCCAUUCUGAGGACUUCUGCAGCUAGAGCUCUGUGGCUGGGCUGACACACGCUCCAUGCCCAAAAUCAGCAGCCUUCGUUAGUCUGUCAGAUGUAGACCGUGGCCCCUCCGAGACGUCAAAGGACUGGGGAGGAAGCUCAGAAGAAUUUCAUCUAGAGUGCCAGAAUAUCUAGGGCUAGUCCCGCCCCCCCACACAUCUCGCCCUAGCAGAGGGAAGUACGGGAAGCAAUAAGUGGCCUUUCACCAGGAAUUUCCCAAAUAUCAUCUCUUCCCGAGGCAUCUACAACCAGACCUUGUGCCUCGCACCUGUUUCCCAUCCACAGCACCAACAUCUGACAGGAAUAUAUGGGGAAUUGAGGUUGGAAGGACUUUGGCAUUGACCGGAUCUUUAAACUUGAGGGAGGAAUCGGUGGUAGACGCAGCAUUCCAGGGUGCAGCUCCUCCUCUUUGAGAUUCCCUCCUUUGUGUGUGACUUGAGAUUCCAGUGCAUGAAUUGGGAAUCCAGCUGCAGUCUGUGUUUUUGUUUAAACUCACAAGUCUCAAGGCCCACAUUUACAGCAUCAUGCAUAAAGUUUGUUGGAAAUACAUAAAUCUGUCUAUGUUAUGAAACGUUCUUUACUCAGUGCUGCAGUCUGCGUUUGUUGUUGGUACCUGGGAUGAUUAGGAUUUUGGCCUUAAAGACAGUGAUUCUGAAACCGUGGGUUGCCGAAAUAAUUGUGAUUUUUGCAGUAUGCUAAUAAAGAUUUUACUUUUGAG